GAUCAGAUGUGGCUUAUGAAGAGCCUGGGGGAUUUCUUUUGCUGUCUUUACCCACUCCCAACCUCAGCUUCCUAUCGGUGGACAGUCCUGUCAUCAAGGCAACAUAGUCUAUCCUGGGCAUAGUCUGAAAGAUCGCAACAUGAGUCCUGACCCUGGUGCUCCUGAGGGCUUGCCACUUUCCCAUUUUAGGGAUCCUGCCAGCCCCCACAAGGGCCUUCCAGCAAAGGGGCUUCCCAUUAUGUUCUCCCACAGAAGCGCUUCUUCCUUUUGCAUUUCGCAUUCUCCCCUCCUCUCUGUAUACGUCCACCUCCCUUCCUCAUUUCCCCCUGGCCCUUGCCGUGCCUCCCACCUACCUCCGGGUGAAGGAAUAACUGAAGUGGAAGCCACCCAUCUCCGGGGUCCCUGCAUUCAUCUUGUGUAGCACUGGCCAUGGGGUCAGAGAACAGAAAGGAGAGGAAAUGGGGGAGGGAAGCACUGGAGAAACAGAGUGUUCUCCAGGAUGGUUCUCAACCUGCUCCAAUCUGACACUUCAAUUUUCCUGCCAGGACAAAGAUCUUCCAGUUGGAGUUACUCACUCUGAUUCUUCCUUCAGUGAUUCAGAACUUGACCGAAGCAUCACCCUGCACUUCAAAAUCUCCUGUCCAGCCUCACCUGCCUUCAGCUACUCACAGAGCCCCGUCUUCAUGGUGCCACAGGUGAAAAUAGAGAUGGAGCCAGAGUGUGACUUCACAGACAUGGACAGAUACGGGAGAGAAGCUGACGGCGAGACCACCCUCUAGGAGGAGGAGCUUCCCCUGGACACGGCACCGUGAGGGCCUGUGUUAGUCUUCAGCGUGAGGGUCUGGGCCAAAACCCUUCACUUUUCCAAGCCUGUUCCUGUAUUUACCAAGCAGAGAGAGUCAUCCUGCCUGAUCGGUGAAAACUGGAGAUCUGUCGUGCAAAGACCUUUCCUUCCCUUUGUAGUUAUGAAAAUAACGAAAGCUUACUGGUACACCUUAUUUUAAAAUGCAAUCCAGCAUAGAAAUGAUAACAUUUCUUUUGAGAUGAAAAAAAAUGCUUGCCUCUCAAAACUGUAGAUAAGGUAAAGGGGCACUAGUCAGUUUUUAUUUAAAACAAAUAUCAGUUAAGAUUUUUUUUUUAAUGCUUAGAUUUUAAAUUAUCUAGAUGGUCUUAAAAGAACUGUUAAAAUACUUGUACUUCAAUAGACCAAGGUUGGAAAUUUUGUUUUGCAUAUUAAGAAAUGCGAAAAAGGUCCUCUUAUCUCUCCAUCCCAUUCAGUUUUCUAUGAAGAGUUUGAACCAUCUGCAUUCUGGGCCUUGUGCCAGCACAGAAGUGUGACUGGGGCUUUCCCAGUUUGACAGCUAGUUCUGAAAGUCUGGCUAUGAAAGAACCAACACAUUCGAGUGGAUGUUUUAAAAACAAGUGAAAUUUCAAAUCACAUGGCAAAUCAACCAAAUGAUCCUUUAAAUUAGUAUCACUGGUUUUUCAAGCACAGAAUCACAUUUCCUGAUGCAUUUGGGUAGCUCUUUCCUGAAAGUUUUCAAUGGCCUGAUUCCCAAAGUCCAACUAGCAUUCACAUGAACACUGCAUGUUAGGCAAGGCUAACAUGAAAUUUUGGAAGAUUAUAACUCUGUAGUACUAGUCAGACUAGUACUUUAAGGAAUAACUGGAAACAAACUGGGUAGAUUAAAACUCAUUAAAUCACAGACCUUGCUUAAGAGCAGUCUUUUUAACUUCAAUUCACACUUAACAAACACCAACCAUGUUUAUUUACCACCUCUGUGUGCCUGAUAGCCACAGUGCAUCUGACAUUUACCUUCUCCAAAACGACUAUGGAUUUGAAUCUUGGGUAAAUUACUUUAGUUACAGUUACCAGACUUACUCAAGAUGACAAAUGCAGGUGCUUUUUCUUUAUUCCUUUCUAUUUUUUAAAGGUACAAAUGACACUAGACUCAUUAACCAACUUGAAUAUGUGGAUAGCUAAUUGCCUCUGAUCCCCAGAGCCAGUAUAGUGCCUAGUCCAUAGAAAGCUCUCAGUGUUUAUGAAAUGAAAUAUCAGAAGUCCCUUCUAAGGAUACUGCCAUGAGGUAGAGCUCUAAACCUCCACCACUUUUACUGAGAGCAGCAGAAUCACUUAGCUGCUCACUAAUCCAGAACCAUUGCCUGAGUUUAAGUAUAAAUUCUUUGUCUUCAUCUACACCAAUUCUGGGAGAGCUGACAAGCCACUCUUAACAUUGCAGUUUUAAAACCUGGCUGAUUUCCAAUAGCACUUUGUCCAACCUGUGUUGUAGAAAUGGUAUGGAUUCAGGAUUAAAUGUGCUUGAUUAAUCAAACAAGCUGGAAAGCUAAAAUGUUGAUUCUUUUUUGUUGUAAAUUGAUCACUGUAAUUUUUACCUUGUAUGUUAUUUGCAUUUUGUAUACAUACACAGGAACAUUUUAAUUUUAAUAGCUUUUAACAGGUUGACAUAUUGUUACUUCUUCAUACAGGUAAUACUUUUUUCCACUUGUAACUACAAUUCAAUAAAACUUAAUCCCAUUUGCUCA